rnacentral:tRNA from 1 species
ACAAUGAUGGCCAAGUGUAUAAGGCGUUGGUACUUAAGUUCCAAUGUACAAAUGUACGCGUGGGUUCGAACCCCACUCCUGGUA